rnacentral:lncRNA from 1 species
GGCACAAAAUAACCACUUACCCCUUCUCACCGAGGAAGAGCGGGAGAAAGGGUAUGGCACAGUCACAAGGGUGGGUGAAAAGAUACAUCAAGGCCUUUUGUAAAGGCUUCUUUGUGGCGGUGCCUGUGGCAGUGACUUUCUUGGAUCGGGUCGCCUGUGUGGCAAGAGUAGAAGGAGCAUCGAUGCAGCCUUCUUUGAAUCCUGGGGGGAGCCAGUCAUCUGAUGUGGUGCUUUUGAACCACUGGAAAGUGAGGAAUUUUGAAGUACACCGUGGUGACAUUGUAUCAUUGGUAAACACAUAUAUAGCAAAGCAGACUGUCCUUUCUAUUGCAAGGGGUUUUGUUCAGAGUUGGUUGACCAGUGUUGUUUCCUAAAGCAUGGGAGAUCUGGCAGAGGGAGGUGGGUGCAUAUUAUUUUUUUGCAUAUCUUUCUUAUUUUUCACUGUCUCUUUCUUUCUGUAAAAAGUUGGUCACAGUGGAGUUAUUGUUUAAGUAUGUUAUUCAGUAGCUACAUUUAUUUAAUAACAUUAUUGGUUGCACAAAAUAUGAUUUGCUGUCAUCAAGUCCUCACUAUAGUAUAUGUAGGUG